ACUCAUACUUUGCAGGGGAAAUACCAUGUAAUAAAGGUGGUUUUCCCAGGAAGAGGCUCAUCCAUUGUAGUUCAGGUAUGUUGCUGAUCCCUGUGAUUUCCCCAAAUGUGGGGAACUCAACUGCAUAAUUUGUGUUAACGGGAGAUUGCACUUGUUAUUUCCCU
ensembl:snRNA U1 U1 spliceosomal RNA